rnacentral:rRNA from 1 species
AACGACUCUCGGCAACGGAUAUCUCGGCUCUCGCAUCGAUGAAGAACGUAGCGAAAUGCGAUACUUGGUGUGAAUUGCAGAAUCCCGUGAACCAUCGAGUCUUUGAACGCAAGUUGCGCCCGAAGCCUUCUGGCCGAGGGCACGCCUGCCUGGGCGUC